GAUGAACGCUGGCGGCGUGCCUAAUACGUGCAAGUCGAGCGAACAGAUGAGGAGCUUGCUCCUCUGACGUUAGCGGCGGACGGGUGAGUAACACGUGGAUAACCUACCUAUAAGACUGGGAUAACUUCGGGAAACCGGAGCUAAUACCGGAUAAUAUAUUGAACCGCAUGGUUCAAUAGUGAAAGACGGUUUUGCUGUCACUUAUAGAUGGAUCCGCGCCGCAUUAGCUAGUUGGUAAGGUAACGGCUUACCAAGGCAACGAUGCGUAGCCGACCUGAGAGGGUGAUCGGCCACACUGGAACUGAGACACGGUCCAGACUCCUACGGGAGGCAGCAGUAGGGAAUCUUCCGCAAUGGGCGAAAGCCUGACGGAGCAACGCCGCGUGAGUGAUGAAGGUCUUCGGAUCGUAAAACCCUGUUAUUAGGGAAGAACAAAUGUGUAAGUAACUAUGCACGUCUUAACGGUACCUAAUCAGAAAGCCACGGCUAACUACGUG
rnacentral:rRNA from 1 species